GAUAUAGAUAUUUGCUGAACAUGGAGACAAAAGUUCAAAUAGUACUUAAAGUUUUGAGAAUAUUUCUGCGCUUUAUCCAGCCCCUCCAUCAUAAUCCUACUCUCCAGAAGCAACCACUUUUAACUAUUUAAGUUUUUACCUGGUAGUGUAUAACCUUUUAUUAUUAUUCAACAAUUAAAAAAACCAUUAUAGUUAUAUAAGUACAAAACUUACAGAGACAAAUUGUUCAACAAAGUGUGUUACAAACAACAGAAUCCCCCUUCUCAUUUUGCUCUCCUCCGAGGCAACAGCUUUCAGUUCUUUUGGCUGAUUCUUCUGGUAGUUACCCCCAUAUUACUGAUAUACGUAUAUUUGCUUCUCGAUCUUUCAGCACCUAUUGUCCUCCGUCUUCAGAAGAUGUGGGUCCAGCCCUCUUUCAUCUCACCUCUACUUUAUCCAACCACACCGCCUCGCACCCUCUGUCCUGCCAAUGGAGCUGUCACCACUUUCUCUCCUACCAGCCUGGGACUCAGGGGACCCAGGACAACAGACAGGCAGGACAGCUCAUACAGGACAAGGAAAGUGAGGCACAGUAAUGGAUUCAGCAAAAGAAGGGCAGAUUACUUGUUUGGCAUGGCACUAUUGCAUAAUUAAUGUAAAAUGAUAACCUUCAAGGCUGGCUUCCACCUCACCCUCUUUGUCAUCAAAAUAUAUUCUAUAGAAGGAAUUUUUUUGUCCCCAUGACACACAUUUCCAAUUUUAGGCGAAGCAAUGGUGGUAAUUUACAUUAAAUACUCUACAAGCCUUGCCAACAACUGAGAUAAAACAUGUUCAAUGCUUUAAGAAAUGCCAGAGUCAUUCUGUCAAGAGAUUGGCUCAAAUUCCAUUCCGAAUCCUGCAGAAAGUGAAAUGCCGCUCUGAGAUUUCUACAAGACUCCAGAGGUCACGUCUGCGGGGCCACCACUCAUGCUGAGCUCCUGCCUCAGCUGAACUAGUCCUGUUUUCAGCUCCUCUUCCCACCUGUGUAUGCUGUCCCCAGCUUGCCUCAUUGAACCAUCUUUGACAGUCCUCCACUUUUAGACACUCACACAAGGCCUUUUCAGGUGUGUUAGAACUUGCUGAAAGUUGGGAGAGACAGAAGGACAACGUGGCAGUCAAUACUACCAACUUAAAAGUGAAUCCUAGAGUACCAUGGUUCUCAAACUGUGCACCAAGACUGCAGCAAACUCACAGUGGUGCCGUAGGAUAUUUUAAAUUUUCAAAGAAAGCAAAGCGAUAUUCAAUGUCUGUCGAGCACUGCCCAAGUGACUAGCUUGAAGUAGUUCACUGUUUCAACAGUAGAUUGCGCUGCAUUCCUUUCAAUGAUGUCUUUGUGACUCUUGGAUGUUUAGGGUUGCUGAGAUAAAAAGCAAAUACCUAGUGAAAGUCAACAUGGAACAGGAAAUGAAGAUGGGGGUGUCUAAUUUGACUCCAAAGUUUCAGAGGUGCACCCACCCAAGGUGUACACAUCGGACUGGUAAAUCACUGUAGUUAACAAUAAAAUCAAAUAAUUUUAAUUUUGCA
rnacentral:lncRNA from 1 species